GCUGCCGGGGGAGAGCUGUCCAGACCUCCAGCUGCCUGCCGCCGUGACAAGGAGGGACGUCUCCAGGAUUGGGCUGGCCAGUGAGAACGGGGUCUCCGUCUCCUGUGACAUGCCCACCAGCCUCUGUAGCCUGACUCUCGGUCUCUAGCACCAUGGCAUAUCUGCUGGCCUUCUGGGCACCAUCAACAAUGAAGCAGGCAAUGAGCUGAUGUUACCUGACGGCUCUGUGGCCCGCAGCCUGGAGGAACUCAGCCUGGCCUGGCAGGUGGAUGGUGACUGCAGGGCCACCGAGAAGACUCAGCAGGCCUGCCCAGGACAGAGCCCCGCCUGCCGGGCCUUCUUCCAGGACCUCCGUUCCAGCUUGGGGAACUGCUUCUGGGUGGUGGACCCUGCCCCAUACCUCAGCCUGUGUGUGCAUGACCCCUGUAGCACGCGGGAGCUCCAGCUUACCUACACUCUGGUGGCCACCAACAUCCACCUGUGUGCCCACAGCUUUGUGCCCCUGGGCUCUCCACCAUACUGUAAGGUGCCCCAGCCAGCUGGCACUCUGCCCUCUGUCUGGCAUCUGCCUUCCAGCCAGAGGGAAAACCCGUCUGUCUCUUUCUUGCCGGGGAGGACAAAUAAUUGUCACUCAAGGAGCUAAGAGUCAAAACAAAACAUUGACACAGCUUGGAUGUGUCCCCUGCAAAUCUCUCACGGAUGGCUUAGCACCCUCCGUUUGGUGAAGCCCGAGUUCUUGCUCAAUUAGUUGACAUGAUAGCAGUGUGUUUACAAAGAGCCUGGCACCUCCUCUCUCUCUUUGCACCCACUCCCAUUUCUGCCAUGAUUCUAAGCUUCCCAAGGGCUCACCAGAAGCCAAGCAGAUGCUGGAGCUGUGCUUGUACAGCCUGUAGAACUGUGAGUCAAUUAUAUCUCUUAUUUAUGAACUGCCCAGGCUGGAGUGUAGAGGCACAAUCUCACCUAACUGCAACUUCCACCUCCCAGGUUCAAGCAAUACUCCUGCCUCAGCCUCCCAAAAAUACAGGCAGGUAUUUUCAUAGAGACGGGGUUUUGCCAUGUUGGCCAGGCUGGUCAUGAAUUCCUGACCUCUGGUGAUCCGCCUGUCUCGGCCUCCCAAAUUGCUAGGAUGACAGGUGUGAGCCACUGUGCCCAGCCUCACUAGGGAUUUGAAUGUCCACCACCAUUUAGGGAAAAUGCCCAGCCCCUGUUUUCUCUCUGCUCUCUUAUCACAAAAAUCAUCAUCAACACAGAAGAUGAUUUCUGUUAGCAAAUGUGUGGGGGUUUGUCCCCACUACCAGGGUGGACCUCUAAUUCAGUUCUAACACUAGCUACCUUGAGAUUCUUCAGCCACUGCUGCAUAUAAUUGCCACAGCCAAAGCCCCAUUAAAAGGGCAGAGAAGUCAGUGGCAGCAAGAGGAGUGGACUUCCAAGAGCUUCAGAUGCCAGAAUGAGUGGCUGCCAUUCACAGACAUUUAAAAUUAAAUGAAUUCAACAGCGGAAGAGAAAGUUAAUCAACUGGAAAACAUGACAAAGGGAAGAUCCAA
rnacentral:lncRNA from 1 species